CCUACGGGUGGCAGCAGUGGGGAAUAUUGGACAAUGGGCGAAAGCCUGAUCCAGCCAUGCCGCGUGUGUGAAGAAGGCCUUCGGGUUGUAAAGCACUUUCAGUGGGGAAGAAAGCCUUGGGGCUAAUACCCUCGAGGAAGGACAUCACCCACAGAAGAAGCACCGGCUAACUCCGUGCCAGCAGCCGCGGUAAUACGGAGGGUGCGAGCGUUAAUCGGAAUUACUGGGCGUAAAGCGCGCGUAGGCGGUCUGAUAAGCCGGUUGUGAAAGCCCCGGGCUCAACCUGGGAACGGCAUCCGGAACUGUCAGGCUAGAGUGCAGGUGAGGAAGGUAGAAUUCCCGGUGUAGCGGUGAAAUGCGUAGAGAUCGGGAGGAAUACCAGUGGCGAAGGCGGCCUUCUGAACUGACACUGACGCUGAGGUGCGAAAGCGUGGGUAGCGAACAGGAUUAGAUACCCCGGUAGUC
rnacentral:rRNA from 1 species